rnacentral:rRNA from 1 species
GUUUGAUCCUGGCUCAGAUUGAACGCUGGCGGCAUGCCUUACACAUGCAAGUCGAACGGCAGCGCGGGGCAACCUGGCGGCGAGUGGCGAACGGGUGAGUAAUAUAUCGGAACGUACCCUGGAGUGGGGGAUAACGUAGCGAAAGUUACGCUAAUACCGCAUACGAUCUAAGGAUGAAAGUGGGGGAUUCGCAAGAACCUCAUGCUCCUGGAGCGGCCGAUAUCUGAUUAGCUAGUUGGUAGGGUAAAAGCCUACCAAGGCUUCGAUCAGUAGCUGGUCUGAGAGGACGACCAGCCACACUGGAACUGAGACACGGUCCAGACUCCUACGGGAGGCAGCAGUGGGGAAUUUUGGACAAUGGGCGCAAGCCUGAUCCAGCAAUGCCGCGUGAGUGAAGAAGGCCUUCGGGUUGUAAAGCUCUUUUGUCAGGGAAGAAACGGUGAGGGCUAAUAUCCCUUGCUAAUGACGGUACCUGAAGAAUAAGCACCGGCUAACUACGUGCCAGCAGCCGCGGUAAUACGUAGGGUGCAAGCGUUAAUCGGAAUUACUGGGCGUAAAGCGUGCGCAGGCGGUUUUGUAAGUUUGUCGUGAAAGCCCCGGGCUCAACCUGGGAAUUGCGAUGAAGACUGCAAGGCUUGAAUCUGGCAGAGGGGGGUAGAAUUCCACGUGUAGCAGUGAAAUGCGUAGAGAUGUGGAGGAACACCGAUGGCGAAGGCAGCCCCCCGGGUCAAGAUUGACGCUCAUGCACGAAAGCGUGGGGAGCAAACAGGAUUAGAUACCCUGGUAGUCCACGCCCUAAACGAUGUCUACUAGUUGUCGGGUUUUAAUUAACUUGGUAACGCAGCUAACGCGUGAAGUAGACCGCCUGGGGAGUACGGUCGCAAGAUUAAAACUCAAAGGAAUUGACGG